rnacentral:rRNA from 1 species
GACGAACGCUGGCGGCGUGCCUAAUACAUGCAAGUCGAGCGAGACUCUUCGGAGUCUAGCGGCGGACGGGUGAGUAACACGUGGGCAACCUGCCUGUAAGACUGGGAUAACACCGGGAAACCGGUGCUAAUACCGGAUAAUCCUUUUCCUCUCAUGAGGAAAAGCUGAAAGUCGGUUUCGGCUGACACUUACAGAUGGGCCCGCGGCGCAUUAGCUAGUUGGUGAGGUAACGGCUCACCAAGGCGACGAUGCGUAGCCGGCCUGAGAGGGUGAUCGGCCACACUGGGACUGAUACACGGCCCAGACUCCUACGGGAGUCAGCAGUAGGGAAUCUUCCACAAUGGACGAAAGUCUGAUGGAGCAACGCCGCGUGAGCGAUGAAGGCCUUCGGGUCGUAAAGCUCUGUUGUUAGGGAAGAACAAGUACCGGAGUAACUGCCGGUACCUUGACGGUACCUAACCAGAAAGCCACGGCUAACUACGUGCCAGCAGCCGCCGUAACAC